AAUGAACGUUGGCGGCAUGGAUUAGGCAUGCAAGUCGGGGGAAUCCCAGCAAUGGGGGAACCGGCGUAAGGGGCAGUAAGGCAUGGGUACCUACCUUGGGGUUCGGGAUAGCCAUCAGAGAUGGUGGGUAAUACCGGAUGACGUCGUGAGACCAAAGAUUUAUCGCCCUUAGAGGGGCCCAUGUGAUAUUAGCUAGUUGGUGGGGUAACGGCCCACCAAGGCGAAGAUGUCUAGCGGGUGUGAGAGCACGACCCGCGCCACUCGCACUGAGACACUGGCGAGACACCUACGGGUGGGUGCAGUCGAGGAUCUUCGGCAAUGAGCGCAAGCUUGACCGAGCGAUGCCGCGUGAGCGAUGAAGGCCUUCGGGUUGUAAAGCUCUUUAGGGGGGGAGAAAAGCCGCAAGGUGUGAUCUAUCCCAAAAAUAAGCACGGGCUAAGUUCGUGCCAGCCGCCGCGGUAA
rnacentral:rRNA from 1 species